GCUGAUUUGCAUAAAGAACUUUUUUUAACCUAUUGGGUCUGGGGAGGCAUGAAAAGGCCCUGAGGGAAACAAACCCCAGCUGGGAAGCCUGAGAACACUUAGCCUUCAUGAGUGUCCCCACCAUGGCCUGGAUGAUGCUUCUCCUCGGACUCCUCGCAUAUGGAUCAGGAGUGGAUUCUCAGACUGUGGUGACCCAGGAGCCACCGUUCUCAGUGUCCCCUGGAGGGACAGUCACACUCACUUGUGGCUUGAGCUCUGGCUCAGUCUCUACUAGUUACUACCCCAGCUGGUACCAGCAGACCCCAGGCCAGGCUCCACGCACGCUGAUCUACAGCACAAACACUCGCUCUUCUGGGGUCCCUGGUCGCUUCUUUGGCUCCAUCAUUGGGAACAAAGCUGCCCUCACCAUCACGGGGGCUCAGGCAGAUGAUGAAUCUGAUUAUUACUGUCUGCUGUAUAUGGGUAGUGGCAUUUCCACAGUGAUUUAAAGCUAUGAGGAAGUGCAACUAAAACCUCUUUAUAUACUGAGAACAGUUCAGCCCUUACAGACAGGAGGGAAAGUGAGAGGGUGGAAACGGUCAACACGGUGAGUGAGGAGUCUCCUUGCCCCAGUCUCUGAUGCAGGGGUUCACUGCCAGGUGCCUCACCCAGUCUCUCCCCGGGUGUGUCCACCUUCCCAGUGUGACUUUUCCAUGGCUGUGCUUCCUCUCCACCGAGAAUAAUGUGGAGGGAGAAUUAUCUACAAAAUAUAUAAGCUCACAGUGAGUCACAGACACCCCAGUGCUCCAGGAAGAUGCUUCUUAUUCAUAGAGAAUUAACAGGCAUAUGCUCACUCAUUAAUUUGACCAUGGAGGCUGACUGAAUAUUUUAUUUAUCACUGAAGUGGGAGCAUUUUCAAGGGGCUUGUUAAAAAUGUAAUUCUCUAACCUAAACCUACUAAGUCAGAAACUUGUGUUGGUGACAGAUAGCCUGUAUUUAACAAGCUGUACAUGAGAUUUUUAUUAGCGUUAAUGUUUGGGAAGAACCUACUUUUAUUAUCAUAAAAUUAUUCAUAGGGAUCUCCAUUUAUAAUGAUGUCAGGUUAAUAUUCCAUAAUCCUACUCUCCUAAAUUCCCAUUCAAACCCCCCAAAUACUCAGAAACAGAUUUUAAAUCUCAAGCCAUAGCAAAAAUUAUAACUUGAUUUAUGCAGACAGAGUAGGGAGGAAUUUCUAAAAGCGUAAGUUCUUAGGUGCCAGGUGUGCUGACUCAUGCUUAUAAUCACAAUACUUUCGGAGGCUGAGGCAAGAGGACUGCUUCAAGCCAGGAGAUUGAGACCAGUGUCUUCCACAUAGCGAGAGUCUAUCACCACGAAAGAAAAAAAAAAAAAAGAUAUAAGUCCCUUCAGGAAUUUCCAAAAACUUGUUUCCUUAGGGUAUAUUUAGUGGUCCAUAUGAAUAUCUGUUACUGAAAACCAUCCCGUAGAGGACUGGCUUCCAGAAUCCCUUCUCCCGCCCACUGAGCUCACCUACCUGUGGCUCUGGCUCUCAGGGUCUUUGUAGGACACAGGGCUCAGCCUCUUAUCACAGAUUGUUCCACAGGAUCAUGGUUCCACUGAGAUCCUCUCAGCAUAGAUACGACCUGUCCUGAACAGUGUCUCUUAAUGUUGGCAAGAUGGGAAGGACUGAGGGGUGACGGAGCCUUGGAGCCACCAGAAGAUGGCAGUAACCUCACUGCUGAGCUUUGCUGGGCCAGACUCAGGCUCCCACCCUCCUCCCUUCCUCUGACUCUUUCUCCUGGCCACCCGGGGUCCAGGAGCUUUUUCCACUCAAUCUGGGCUCAGGGGUCACCUCAGAGAACCUCUCAACAAGACAAAGGAGGUGCUUCAGGGGAUCUAACACAAGUGAGGGCAGAUUUUAAGACUGUCCACGCACAGAAAAUCCUGUGAAAAGAAACAAACCAGCCCUACUUGUGUCUGUGCACCUGAGUUCUUAGGACUGUUUUCCUGAUCUCCUGGCUGAGUCAAGAUUGCAAAUGUGCGGUUCAUUAUCCAGAUCCAGAGAAGUCCAUGACAGUUUAUGAAGACAAAGAUGACAACUACCCUAUCUACUUGUCACACAAUGAAGACACUGGCCUUAGAUCUGUCAGUGCCCUGGAACAUUCUGGAAGAAGAGGGUGAAGGUUACUUGGCAUAUGUUGGGACUCAAACAUGAGGAUCUCAUGAUGACCCAGAGGGAUAAAGGUGGGAUCAGUUGUGAGGGUGGAAAAUGUGGAUUUCUUAAGGCCAUUUUGUUAAUCCUUUUCUCAUUGCAAAGGAUUUAAACUGAAAUGAACACGAUUUUUCUAAUAAAUGCUUAUGAGGCUUUCCAUUAAA